rnacentral:rRNA from 1 species
UACGUGAGGGGGCAAGCGUUGUCCGGAAUCAUUGGGCGUAAAGCGCGCGUAGGCGGCCCGGUAAGUCCGUUGUGAAAGUCAAAGGCUCAACCUUUGAACGCCGAUGGAUACUGCCGGGCUAGAGUCCGGAAGAGGCGAGUGGAAUUCCUGGUGUAGCGGUGGAAUGCGCAGAUAUCAGGAGGAACACCAAUAGCGAAGGCAGCUCGCUGGGACGGUACUGACGCUGAGGCGCGAAAGCGUGGGGGAGCGAACAGG